ensembl:lncRNA PKN2-AS1 PKN2 antisense RNA 1
ACUUCACUGACUUUGUCCUUUACAUUGACAAGCUAGAUAAGAUGAUAUCGUUUUAAAUAAUCAUUUGCGUUUAGGUAUUUCUCUGGCAGUUUUGUAUUACAGUUUAAAAAUAGACUAGCCUAUGUCUAUGGCUCAUGUUGGCUAUGGUAUUUUGAACUUGAUUUCUGAGGCUGCUGACAGCUUUUGAAAGAUUUAACAACUGGCAGCAAGAAAAACUUCCAUAGAAUCUCUUCUCUGAAAUUUUUUCUGCUGGAAAAAAGGGCAUCACUUAGCAGGCGUAAAUGUCUCAGUCACUGACUAUAAGUACAAAGGGCCCAGAAGCUGGAAUCUGAAGACAAACAUGGCUCCACUACAUUUUACUCUCAUUGCCUUGGGAAACAUUACUUAAACCAGAAGAAUCUAUUGCCCUCUUUACUUCACAGUGCUACAGAGAGGAUUACAUGAGCCAAUAUUUAUUCAAGAGAAAUGACAAAAAGACUGAGAAUCUCUGAGGUCCUUGGGUUUCCAGAGGUAUUCCUGCAAGGAACAGUCAAGCAGCAUCAAACCUUCAGACCUUCUGAAACAGCCUGGUUCCUCCCAGCACUGGGUCUGGUUCUGCCGCCCUCCUUUCCAACAUGUCACGUCAGUCAUCCUCCCAACAAAUUCAGUAGUUGGUUAAGCAAGCCAUAUACAGUGUUAGUUGACUGAAAUCAAAGCUCUAUAGCUAAUACCAGAGGAAAGCAAAGUUCUGAUUUUCAUAAGGUUUUGAAUGCUGUGCUAUGGAUUUUGGACUUUAUUUUGAAGGCAAUAAAGAUUGUAAUAAAGAUAGUAGCAUGAGUGAACUGGUUAAGAGAUUUGCCAAAAUGUCUAGCCAUUCAACUUCGUAAGUAUAUGAAAUUCUCCAUAGAAGUAUAAUGUUAAAUAAGUGGCCUUCAGUAAGGCAAAAACAAACAAACAAAAAAAUAGAUAGCUGCUCUUUCUAUUUCUGUUACUAUUAAAGAAAAUGUAGCUUUCCAAAUGACUUAAUUUUACUCAUGAAUGAAUGAAUAUUGAGUUAAUAACACUCUCCAUACUUUCCCUUUUUUAUAUAUAUAUAACUUGAGAUAAUAAUUGCUACUUAAAGUAGGAUGUUUAUAAAUACAUGGCAGUACUGUGUAUGCUUUCUUCUUUGUGGUUUUUAUAUGCUUUUAUACGUUCUGUGUAUGAAUGUUGAGGAGAACUUCUUUUAGAAUUAGUUAGAAUAAACUUGUUCAUUCUGAAA